GGGUGAGUAACGCGUAAGUAAUCUACCCUGGUAUCUGGGAUAACCAACCGAAAGGUUGGCUAAUACCGGAUACGCUGGUAACAGGAAAGGUGGCCUCUUCAUGAAAGCUACUGUACCAGGAGGAGCUUGCGUACCAUUAGCUAGUUGGUAGGGUAAUGGCCUACCAAGGCGACGAUGGUUAGCGGGUCUGAGAGGAUGAUCCGCCACACUGGAACUGGAACACGGACCAGACUCCUACGGGAGGCAGCAGUGAGGAAUAUUGCGCAAUGGGGGAAACCCUGACGCAGCGACGCCGCGUGGAUGAUGAAGGCCUUCGGGUCGUAAAAUCCUGUCAGAUGGAAAGAAGUGUAUAGAUGUUAAUAGCAUUUAUAUUUGACGGUACCAUCAAAGGAAGCACCGGCUAACUCCGUGCCAGCAGCCGCGGUAAUACGGAGGGUGCAAGCGUUGUUCGGAAUUACUGGGCGUAAAGCGCGCGUAGGCGGUUUUAUAAGUCAGAUGUGAAAGUCCACGGCUCAACCGUGGAAGUGCAUUUGAAACUGUAUUACUUGAGUACUGGAGGGGGUGGUGGAAUUCCCGGUGUAGAGGUGAAAUUCGUAGAUAUCGGGAGGAAUACCGGUGGCGAAGGCGACCACCUGGCCAGAUACUGACGCUGAGGUGCGAAAGCGU
rnacentral:rRNA from 2 species